GGCCAUGACUCAGUGGUAGAGCAUCUGCUGUGUGCGCAGAAAGUUCCAGGUUCAAUCCCUGAUAUUGCCA
rnacentral:tRNA from 1 species